rnacentral:lncRNA from 10 species
UGAGUAAAGGAAAUUACAUUAUAUUACAUAAAUAAAUGAAGCUUUAAUUUUGUUCUCCAUAUUUCUCAACAGCUUUGCAGAUGGUAUUAAGAAACAGGGCAUCUGUGUCUCCCUGUGGAAAAACCCAGGCUCUUCUGGAACUGUGGGCUCCUUGUGUUGCUGUCAUGUAAUCAAGAAGCUAGAGCAUCUGCCCAUUAUCACAUUUCUAAUGUUGAAGUGGAGAUAUGAGGAUUUUGAAAGUUCCCAAUUGGAUGCCUCUAAAGGAAGUGAGGGCUCUUUCAAGUAAGAAAAACUCAUUUUAUAUUACCUUUUAAGCUAGCUGUUAUUAAUUUUCAAUUUUAUGCUAGAAAUUUGCAACUCACAAAAAGAAAGGAAAAAAGUUAAACCCUGAUUUUAAAUAUCAUUGUUCCCCAUUUUUCAUGUCUCAGUUACCACAUUUAAAAAGAAGAUGGCACCAUUUGUCCAAGGAAUCUCAUUACUGGGUAUAUGCCCAAAGGAAUAUAAAUCAUUCUAUUAUAAAGAUACAA